AUUGAACGCUGGCGGCAGGCCUAACACAUGCAAGUCGGACGGUAGCACAGAGGAGCUUGCUCCUCGGGUGACGAGUGGCGGACGGGUGAGUAAUGUCUGGGGAUCUGCCCGAUAGAGGGGGACAACCACUGGAAACGGUGGCUAAUACCGCAUAACGUCGCAAGACCAAAGAGGGGGACCUGCGGGCCUCUCACUAUCGGAUGAACCCAGAUGGGGUUAGCUAGUAGGCGGGGUAACGGCCCACCUAGGCGACGACCCCUAGCUGGGCUGAGAGGAUGACCAGCCACACUGGAACGGAGACACGGUCCAGACUCCUACGGGAGGCAGCAGUGGGGAAUAUUGCACAAUGGGCGCAAGCCUGAUGCAGCCAUGCCGCGUGUAUGAAGAAGGCCUUCGGGUUGUAAAGUACUUUCAGCGGGGAGGAAGGCGAUGUGGUUAAUAACCGCAUUGAUUGACGUUACCCGCAGAAGAAGCACCGGCUAACUCCGUGCCAGCCGCCGCCGUAA
rnacentral:rRNA from 1 species